AACAAAAAACCAGAUUCUGUCAUCCAUACUUAUACUCUUUUGUUAAUAUAUGUACAUUUUAUAGAUGGUAUUUAUAUGCUUUCAGUCGUUAGUUACGGUCUUCUCCAUGCGAGCCAGUAAGUCUACCAU